rnacentral:rRNA from 1 species
CCUACGGGAGGCAGCAGUGGGGAAUUUUGGACAAUGGGGGAAACCCUGAUCCAGCCAUGCCGCGUGAGUGAAGAAGGCCUUCGGGUUGUAAAGCUCUUUCAGACGGAAAGAAACGGUUACGGCUAAUACCCGUGACUAAUGACGGUACCGUCAGAAGAAGCACCGGCUAACUACGUGCCAGCAGCCGCGGUAAUACGUAGGGUGCGAGCGUUAAUCGGAAUUACUGGGCGUAAAGCGUGCGCAGGCGGUUUUGUAAGACAGACGUGAAAUCCCCGGGCUUAACCUGGGAACUGCGUUUGUGACUGCAAGGCUAGAGUACGGCAGAGGGGGGUAGAAUUCCACGUGUAGCAGUGAAAUGCGUAGAUAUGUGGAGGAAUACCGAUGGCGAAGGCAGCCCCCUGGGUCGAUACUGACGCUCAUGCACGAAAGCGUGGGGAGCAAACAGGAUUAGAUACCCUGGUAGUCCACGCCCUAAACGAUGUCAACUAGGUGUUGGGGAAGGAGACUUCUUUAGUACCGCAGCUAACGCGAUAAGUUGACCGCCUGGGGAGUACGGUCGCAAGAUUAAAACUCAAAGGAAUUGACGG